UAGCGUAUAUUUAAGUUGUUGCAGUUAAAAAGCUCGUAGUUGGAUUUCGGUUAAGAGCGACCGGUCCGCCGUUUGGUGUGCACUGGUUGGUUUUAACUUCCUGUAGAGGACGUGCUCUGGGCUUAACGGUCUGGACUCGGAGUCUACGUGGUUACUUUGAAAAAAUUAGAGUGUUCAAAGCGGGCUUACGCUUGAAUAUUUCAGCAUGGAAUAACACUAUAGGACUCCUGUCCUAUUUCGUUGGUCUCGGGACGGGAGUAAUGAUUAAGAGGAACAGUUGGGGGCAUUCGUAUUUCAUUGUCAGAGGUGAAAUUCUUGGAUUUAUGAAAGACGAACUUCUGCGAAAGCAUUUGCCAAGGAUGUUUUCAUUAAUCAAGAACGAAAGUUGGGGGCUCGAAGAUGAUUAGAUACCAUCCUAGUCUCAACCAUAAACGAUGCCGACUAGGGAUUGGCGGAUGUUAAUUGAUGACUCCGCCAGCACCUUAUGAGAAAUCAAAGUUUUUGGGUUCCGGGGGGAGUAUGGUCGCAAGGCUGAAACUUAAAGGAAUUG
rnacentral:rRNA from 1 species